UACGUAGGGGGCAAGCGUUGUCCGGAAUCAUUGGGCGUAAAGAGCGUGUAGGCGGCCCGAUAAGUCCGCUGUGAAAGUCCAGGGCUCAACCCUGGGAUGCCGGUGGAUACUGUCGGGCUCGAGUCCGGAAGAGGAGUGUGGAAUUCCGUGGUGUAGCGGUGAAAUGCGCAGAUAUCAGGAGGAACACCAAUGGCGAAGGCAGCACUCUGGGACGUGACUGACGCUGAGACGCGAAAGCGUGGGGAGCAAACAGG
rnacentral:rRNA from 1 species